rnacentral:rRNA from 1 species
UACGGGGGGGGCAAGCGUUGUUCGGAAUUACUGGGCGUAAAGGGCGCGUAGGCGGCCUGCUAAGUCGAACGUGAAAUCCCCGGGCUCAACCCGGGAACUGCGUCCGAUACUGGCAGGCUUGAAUUCGGGAGAGGGAUGCGGAAUUCCUGGUGUAGCGGUGAAAUGCGCAGAUAUCAGGAGGAACACCGGUGGCGAAGGCGGAUCUCUGGGCCAUUACUGACGCUGAGGAGCGAAAGCGUGGGGAGCGAACAGG